rnacentral:rRNA from 1 species
AUUGAACGCUGGCGGCAGGCUUAACACAUGCAAGUCGAGCGGGGUGAUGGUGCUUGCACUAUCACUUAGCGGCGGACGGGUGAGUAAUGCUUAGGAAUCUGCCUAUUAGUGGGGGACAACAUCUCGAAAGGGAUGCUAAUACCGCAUACGUCCUACGGGAGAAAGCAGGGGAUCACUUGUGACCUUGCGCUAAUAGAUGAGCCUAAGUCGGAUUAGUUAGUUGGUGGGGUAAAGGCCUACCAAGGCGACGAUCUGUAGCGGGUCUGAGAGGAUGAUCCGCCACACUGGGACUGGAACACGGCCCAGACUCCUACGGGAGGCAGCAGUGGGGAAUAUUGGACAAUGGGGGGAACCCUGAUCCAGCCAUGCCGCGUGUGUGAAGAAGGCCUUAUGGUUGUAAAGCACUUUAAGCGAGGAGGAGGCUCUUUUGGUUAAUACCCAAGAUGAGUGGACGUUACUCGCAGAAUAAGCACCGGCUAACUCUGUGCCAGCCGCCACCGUAA